rnacentral:rRNA from 1 species
UGGGGAAUAUUGCACAAUGGGCGCAAGCCUGAUGCAGCCAUGCCGCGUGUAUGAAGAAGGCCUUCGGGUUGUAAAGUACUUUCAGCGGGGAGGAAGGGAGUAAAGUUAAUACCUUUGCUCAUUGACGUUACCCGCAGAAGAAGCACCGGCUAACUCCGUGCCAGCAGCCGCGGUAAUACGGAGGGUGCAAGCGUUAAUCGGAAUUACUGGGCGUAAAGCGCACGCAGGCGGUUUGUUAAGUCAGAUGUGAAAUCCCCGGGCUCAACCUGGGAACGGCAUGUGAUACUGGCAAGCUUGAGUCUCGUAGAGGGGGGUAGAAUUCCAGGUGUAGCGGUGAAAUGCGUAGAGAUCUGGAGGAAUACCGGUGGCGAAGGCGGCCCCCUGGACGAAGACUGACGCUCAGGUGCGAAAGCGUGGGGAGCAAACAGG